CCAGUCUGAAAAUCACUUUGGAUAGCUGUUGUCUGGGGUGAGUUUACUAGGCCUAUAGUACUGUGGUACAUUAAGCUUAUUGCCUGCUAUUUAUCGCAGAGGGAUUAAACCCAUGUGCCUCCCCCC